CUGUUCCCGUUUUUCACAUGUG
rnacentral:miRNA from 1 species